rnacentral:rRNA from 1 species
GUGAGGAAUAUUGCGCAAUGGCCGAAAGGCUGACGCAGCGACGCCGCGUGAAGGAUGAAGUCCGUUAGGAUGUAAACUUCUUUUGCAGGGGAUGAAUAGCCCGCUUUGCGGGCCUGACCGUACCCUGCGAAUAAGGAUCGGCUAACUACGUGCCAGCAGCCGCGGUAAUACGUAGGAUCCGAGCGUUGUCCGGAUUUACUGGGUGUAAAGGGCGUGUAGGUGGAUUGGCAAGUCGGUGGUGAAAGCCUGCGGCUCAACCGCAGAAUGGCCAUCGAAACUACCAAUCUUGAGUACGGCAGAGGGAGAUGGAAUUCAUGGUGUAGCGGUGAAAUGUGUAGAUAUCAUGAAGAACACCGGUAGCGAAGGCGGUCUCCUGGUCCGUAACUGACACUGAGGCGCGAAAGCGUGGGGAGCAAACAGGAUUAGAUACCCUAGUAGUCC